GUCUGAUUUGUAUUCCACUCGAGUUUGCAUGCAUUUCGAUGUACGUAUAUUAUACGCGACCCUCCCGCCCCGCGACGGUAUUGUUAUUAAAGUUGUUAUCAGUUUAACAAGAUCUCCGCGAAAAGAACAUAGUGCCCCGUGAACACCGCCAUUUUAAUGCAUGCAUACGUGCACACGUGUACACAAACGGGUGAUAAUCGGAAUUGUUUAUGGGUUGCCCGAUGGGUCUGGAAAUUGGAAGGAUUCGCGAAAACACAAGCGAACGCAUGAAAAGAGAAAUUCAUGAAAUGCGAAUCGUUGAUUGCAAUGAAACCAUUGUUGUACUAACGCACACGGAUACCAUCACAAUUCAAUUCUGAUUCGUCUUUGGUGAAUACAAGGAAAUUGUUCAAUGGACGAAGAAAGUGGAAGUCAGUUGGGGAUAGACCUGGAAUAUAGGAGGUGAAGUUGAACUUUGAUACGAAACUGGUGCCAUUUUUGUAAGAACGUGUUUGCGACGUCCAGUUGGCCAUUAUUACACAGAAAAAUGAGACUCUCUACUAACCGGCGACGGUUGCUGUUCUUUUAAUUUCCGGCGUCGACACAAGGAAACAUUAAUUUGUUUUAAAAUAAAGCAAAUAAACGAUGUAAGCAAAGAUUUCGACAUAAAUGAAGAAGAUUCAUUUGCAUCCACUUAUCGUAAUAC